GUUCCUUGGAAAAGGACAGCUGAGAGGGUGAGACUCCCGUCCGCCUGGUAGAGUGAGUCAUGUGUCAACGAGUCGAGUUGUUUGGGAUUGCAGCUCUAAUUUGGUGGUAAAUUCCAUCUAAAGCUAAAUAUUGGUGGGAGACCGAUAGCGUACAAGUACCGUGAGGGAAAGAUGCAAAGAACUUUGAAAAGAGAGUUAAAGAGUACCUGAAAUUGCUGAAACGGAAGCGAAGGAAACCAGUGUUUGUUGGUUCAUAUUUCCCUGGCCACUUGUGGUUUGGGCGCUGUGAGCUUGCGUGGGUUUGCUUUGGUUGAUCCCUUUGGAAGAGCGCAGUCAGAGUUGAUGUCU
rnacentral:rRNA from 1 species